UUAGCCAUGCGGUCAUCGAGGUGAAUCUGAAACUGGGAGAGGAGCUUCACCAUCUGAACCUGGCUCUCUCCUCAUCACCGCAUGCUCACAGAGUGCCCUGCCUCCAAAGGAAAACUCCAACCACCUCUGGACGAUGCGACAUCAUUUCCUCUGCUGGGCCUUCACAAAUGCGCUCUUUAAUGAUUUUUUCCAGUGUUUUCCCAAGGAUAGAGGUAAGACUGAUUGGCCUAAAGUUACUCGGCUCAUCCCUUCUCCCCCUUCCCAGGCCUCAGGGACCUGGCCGGAGCACCAUGAGUGCUCAAACAACCAUGCCAGUGGCUCAGCUAUGACACUGGCCAAUUCCUUCAGCACCCAUGGAUGGAGGUCAUCCAGGCCUGCUGACUUAUACACAUCCAUCCCUGCCAAGUUCUCCUUAAGUAAGCACUUAGCUCCUUAACUCAUUUCUCCAUGGGAUGCCUAGGAACAGACAGCUGCUUGAGAUGCUCUGAGAAAACAGUUUGAGAUGCUUUGUGGAAAGCCCUGGUCAUGCCCUGUUCACUCUUCCUCUCAGCAUCUUCUCUCUGCCCAUGUGACAGGAGACGGGGCUAGAUGGACCCUUGUCCUGACCCUUGGCCUUUCCCACUACUUUAAAGUCCAUUUAGCACCUUAAAUUAACACUACUCAGAUAUGUUAUAAAUUGCAUUGUUUUCGUGUUACGCAGCUCCAACUGUGGAUCUUGUUCAUGCAAACAGCCAGAGACUCCAAAGGCUUGUAGUUAAUCCCCUCCUCCAAGAGGGGCCUCUGUGUUCCAGCUCUAACCAGUAGGCGGCGCUGUGUGUUCCUUUUUACCCUCUUCCACUCCUCACUCUUCAGCCCUCCCUCCUCUGCAGUCAGGUCAGGACAUCCUUGCUUAGUUGCCAGGACCAAUCAAUUAUUCUUAUUUUAUUCUUAUUUUUAUUUUCGAAAGAAUGGGGGAGAGCAAUGGCAAUAACAUCAUUUUCUACCCCCUUCUUAAUUGUUGCCCCCCACCACCUAUUGUCUAUGGCCUCCCCCACCCGCCCGUGUACCCUCCUGUCCUCCAGCCCCCACCCCACACCGGUACCCUCCAACUGCUGUGAGCCCUGCACCCCCUGCUUUCUGCUGAUGCAGUGGCCAUGGCUCCCGACGGCAGCAGCAGCGGCAGCAGCAGCGUAAUGAGCCACGAGUCCAAGGGCAGCAGGAUGCUGCCUGCCAGACCUGACACCCAGCGUAUGCAGCAUCCCAGGUGAUAUUUAGGUAAUAUGUCCGACUGACCUAGUGCACGCGUGUGUAUUCAUGUGUGUGUGAGGGGAGGCAAAAGUCUGGGUUUUUUUACUGUGCACCAAGCUCCCCUCCUCUUCCUCGCCUUCCUUUUCCCUCCCUCCUGCAGAAAACUUUUGCGGGCAGACCUCGCCGGGGUUGAGCCCACAGGCCAGUGACGGGUGGAUAGUGAACAGUGAACAGUGGAUACUGAACUGAAAAAACCCUUUUUCUUUUUCUUUUUACAUUUUUAUUUUUAUAUUGUAUUUUUGUAUAUGGUUAUAUAGUUAUUUUUGCUAAGAAAGAAAGACAAGAGAAGAGUCUGAACCUUCUGUUUAUUUUGUUACAUUUUGUAUUUAUUUGAAUAUUGUCAGUUUUGUAUCCAGUUAUUCUUUUUCAGUAAGUUCAGUAAAGUUUUUCUUCGGGACAC